rnacentral:misc_RNA from 1 species
CUUUCUGUUGCUCUGUGGCUGAUAUGGAGUUGGUGACUCCAUUCGAAGUCGGGCAAAAAAUUCAUGUGAUGUCAUCUGUAACUCAACCACGGCUUGGGUGGUCGAACGAAUCUGCAGCGACUUUUGGGACAAUUUCAAGGAUAGACAUGGAUGGAACUCUAAAUGUAAAAGUGGCAUGUAGAAGCAAUUUGUGGAAAGUUGCACCCGGUGAUGCAGAGAGGCUUUCGG